GAUGAACGCUGGCGGCGUGCCUAAUACAUGCAAGUCGAGCGAAUGGAUUGAGAGCUUGCUCUUAUGAAGUUAGCGGCGGACGGGUGAGUAACACGUGGGUAACCUGCCCAUAAGACUGGGAUAACUCCGGGAAUCCGGGGCUAAUACCGGAUAACAUUUUGAACCGCAUGGUUCGAAAUUGAAAGGCGGCUUCGGCUGUCACUUAUGGAUGGACCCGCGUCGCAUUAGCUAGUUGGGGAGGUAACGGCUCACCAAGGCAACGAUGCGUAGCCGACCUGAGAGGGUGAUCGGCCACACUGGGACUGAGACACGGCCCAGACUCCUACGGGAGGCAGCAGUAGGGAAUCUUCCGCAAUGGACGAAAGUCUGGCGGAGCAACGCCGCGUGAGUGAUGAAGGCUUUCGGGUCGUAAAACUCUGUUGUUAGGGAAGAACAAGUGCUAGUUGAAUAAGCUGGCACCUUGACGGUACCUAACCAGAAAGCCACGGCUAACUACGUGCCAGCCGCCGCGGUAA
rnacentral:rRNA from 1 species